CGUGGCGGACGGGUGAGUAACGCGUAAGAAUCUAACUUCAGGACGGGGACAACAGUGGGAAACGACUGCUAAUACCCGAUGUGCCGCAAGGUGAAACCUAAUUGGCCUGAAGAAGAGCUUGCGUCUGAUUAGCUAGUUGGUGGGGUAAGAGCCUACCAAGGCGACGAUCAGUAGCUGGUCUGAGAGGAUGAUCAGCCACACUGGGACUGAGACACGGCCCAGACUCCUACGGGAGGCAGCAGUGGGGAAUUUUCCGCAAUGGGCGAAAGCCUGACGGAGCAACGCCGCGUGAGGGAGGAAGGUCUUUGGAUUGUAAACCUCUUUUCUCAAGGAAGAAGUUCUGACGGUACUUGAGGAAUCAGCCUCGGCUAACUCCGUGCCAGCAGCCGCGGUAAUACGGGGGAGGCAAGCGUUAUCCGGAAUUAUUGGGCGUAAAGCGUCCGCAGGUGGUCAGCCAAGUCUGCUGUCAAAUCAGGUUGCUUAACGACCUAAAGGCGGUGGAAACUGGCAGACUAGAGAUCAGUAGGGGUAGCAGGAAUUCCCAGUGUAGCGGUGAAAUGCGUAGAGAUUGGGAAGAACAUCGGUGGCGAAAGCGUGCUACUGGGCUGUAUCUGACACUCAGGGACGAAAGCUAGGGGAGCGAAAGGGAUUAGAUACCCCUGUAGUCCUAGCCGUAAACGAUGGAUACUAGG
rnacentral:rRNA from 1 species